rfam:Oreochromis niloticus linkage group LG12, whole genome shotgun sequence.
CCUUCGAUAGCUCAGUUGGUAGAGCGGAGGACUGCAGAGGAAUCCUUAGGUCGCCGGUUCAAAUCUGGCUCGAAGGA